UUCAAUUUUAAGUGCACAAUACUCAAAAACUUUAAUUCAGCUUUGUCAAUGAACUCAAAUUGUUUGACUUGUCGUCUUUGACGUCAUUUCCGACGAGUGGAACGUUCCGGUUCCCGCUUGCGCCGAGCUUUGCAGCAACAGUAUAAUUCAGAUAUAUUUGUACAAAAAGUCAUCUUUCUUGUGGGAACUUCGCUUCCGGACUGCUACCAUGGAGGACUUCUGGAGUUAAUUCCGUUGUGACUUGUUUUUCAAAUGUCUGAUAUAAAUUUUACUUUCUCUUUUUUCCCCUUUGAGGACUCCUCUCUGGCUGAAGUAGAAGAAGCUGGAUGUUACAUGAAGUCUGCAGGCUGCCUGUGGAGUCCCUUGAACUGGACAUUGAUGACGUACCAGUCAGCCUUGCUUUGAUCCGUGCCAAUUCAACUGAUGCCACGUUCCUCUGCCCAGAUACGGUUUCAGUUCUCAUUGAGAGUAAUCUUGUGAUUGAAGUGUAGAAUUUUAGAAAACAAUUUGUUGUUUUGUUUGUUGUUUUGUUGUUGUAGUAUGUUUACUCAAUAAAGACUGAGUUGUAUCUAA